rnacentral:misc_RNA from 1 species
AAGGAUAUAUUCGGAACAUCUUCUACGAAGAUGAAACGGAAUAACGUAGACAUAUUGUAUUCAGUUUUGAAUGCUCAUAGAGUAUUCAAAGAUUGUACAUUGAAAACUAGAUAAGUAAGUAAAAUAUAGAUUUUACCAAGCAAAACCGAGUGAAUUAGAGUUUUAAAAAGCUUGAAUUCAAACUAAAAYAAUCGCUAGUGUUCGAAAGAACACUCACAGAUUAAUAACAUUUUGGGUUUUGAGUUARACRUURYGUUUGACUUCGAUAGAUGUUUUCAAAAGAAAACGUUUGUCAGUCAAUGCGUUGCGAGGAUGAUUUAAGGCGUUUACUUCUGUAAACAACUGACAAUCAGACGAAGCAACAAAGCAGAAUGCGAGCGUUUGACUUGAAAACAAAAA